rnacentral:tRNA from 1 species
GCGCGAUUAGCUCAGUGGUAGAGCGAUUCUUUGACGUAGAAUAGGUCGAAGGUUCGAUCCCUUCAUCGCGCA